GGUGGCUCAGUGGUAGAGCACUCGCUUUGCAUGCGUGAGGCCCUGGGUUCUAUUCCUCAGCACCA
rnacentral:tRNA from 1 species